rnacentral:rRNA from 1 species
UACGGAAGGGGCAAGCGUUGUUCGGAAUCAUUGGGCGUAAAGGGCGCGUAGGUGGUUCUGUACGUCUACCGUGAAAGCGUACGGCUCAACCGUAUUUUGUCGGUGGAAACUGCAGGACUUGAGGCUGGGAGGGGCUGGUGGAAUUCCCUGUGUAGCGGUGAAAUGCGUAGAGAUGGGGGAGAACACUCGUGGCGAAGGCGGCCAGCUAGACCAGUUCUGACACUGAGGCGCGACAGCGUGGGGAGCAAACAGG